UUGUGGAAGCUUCUCUUCAUCAUGUACAAAUCUUUCGCCUUUUACUAAAGAUUUCCGUGGAGAGGGGCGUCAACAAGCUCACAAUAUUUUUGGGCUCUCUGUUUUGACAGAGCU
ensembl:snRNA U5 U5 spliceosomal RNA